rnacentral:rRNA from 1 species
GCGUGCGCGAUGAAGGCCUUCGGGUUGUAAAGCGCUUUUUGAGGGGAUGAGAAAGGACAGUACCCUCAGAAUAAGCCUCGGCUAACUACGUGCCAGCAGCCGCGGUAAAACGUAGGAGGCGAGCGUUAUCCGGAUUUACUGGGCGUAAAGCGCGUGCAGGUGGUACGGUAAGUUGGAUGUGAAAGCUCCCGGCUAAACUGGGAGAGGUCGUUCAAUACUGCCGAACUAGAGGAUGGGAGAGGAAGGUGGAAUUCCGAGUGUAGUGGUGAAAUGCGU